rnacentral:rRNA from 1 species
GAUGAACGCUGGCGGCGUGGAUGAGGCAUGCAAGUCGAAUGGGUUUAGACCCAUGGCAGACGAGGUAGGAACACGUAGGUACAUACCCUAAAGUCAGAGAUAACCCGGUGAAAGCCGGAGUAAUAUUUGAUAGUCCCUUCGGGGUAAAGAUUUAUCGCUUUAGGAAUGGCCUGCGUUCUAUCAGCUUGUUGGUAAGGUAA